GAUGAACGCUGGCGGCGUGCCUAAUACAUGCAAGUCGAGCGAACGGACGAGAAGCUUGCUUCUCUGAUGUUAGCGGCGGACGGGUGAGUAACACGUGGAUAACCUACCUAUAAGACUGGGAUAACUUCGGGAAACCGGAGCUAAUACCGGAUAAUAUUUUGAACCGCAUGGUUCAAAAGUGAAAGACGGUCUUGCUGUCACUUAUAGAUGGAUCCGCGCCGCAUUAGCUAGUUGGUAAGGUAACGGCUUACCAAGGCAUCGAUGCAUAGCCGACCUGAGAGGGUGAUCGGCCACACUGGAACUGAGACACGGUCCAGACUCCUACGGGAGGCAGCAGUAGGGAAUCUUCCGCAAUGGGCGAAAGCCUGACGGAGCAACGCCGCGUGAGUGAUGAAGGUCUUCGGAUCGUAAAACUCUGUUAUUAGGGAAGAACAUAUGUGUAAGUAACUGUGCACAUCUUGACGGUACCUAAUCAGAAAGCCACGGCUAACUACGUG
rnacentral:rRNA from 1 species